UGGAUAUGUGGUUGUGCGCCUUUAACGCACGGCAGGUGUCUGCUGGUGCGUUAGCGCGUCAGGUGAUGUUUACGCACCAAUUGCCGGUGCCGAAAUCUCUUUAAAAAGAGGGCCCAAGCCACUGCAAAGGCGCCGGCAUGUUUGUGGCAGGUUCGCCUGUGUUUCCAUGUUCAAUCGGGAGUUCGAGCUUCACUGAAAUUAUGUUGUUCAUGUGGAGUAUCGAGUACUGCCCGAGUGGUUUCUCGUGGCUUUAAGAGCUAAGACUGACGAAGUCUCCAGCUGGAUUGCUGGCUUGAUCCACUCGCGCUGAGUGCCCUGGUAAAGGACUGAAUGUGGUCGCGGUUUCCCCCCUGCCGCGGUUGGAAGUGUGUGUGUCUCAUCGGUCGGGGUGUUGACCCCUUCGUCGAUGUAGCUGUUUGACGCGGCGGGCUGCUGUUUAGUUUGGGUAGACUGAACUGAUAAGAUACGCCGAGUGCUUGGGUGUGCGUAACGUGGUUGGAACUGGUUGUGUGAGUGGGGUUGCGUGCCUGUUUAACGAGUUUUGUUUUGAUUUUGAUGCGCUCUGAACGAGUGUAGCCUACCCCCUGUCCUGUAUUGUGGUUAACUGUGUUUUGUUUGUUAUUUUUCUGAUUCUAUGUAAUUGACCACACUGGUGCCCAGU